rnacentral:rRNA from 1 species
GGUAAGGGAUGAAGUGCUUACUGCAUUUUUUCUUACACAUGUGUUUUUCUUUUUUUGAAAACUUUGCUUUGGUAGGCCUUCUAUAUGGGGCCUGCCAGAGAUUAAACUCAACCAAAUUUUAUUUAAUGUCAACCGAUUAUUUAAUAGUCAAAACUUUCAACAACGGAUCUCUUGGUUCUCGCAUCGAUGAAGAACGCAGCGAAAUGCGAUAAGUAAUAUGAAUUGCAGAUAUUCGUGAAUCAUCGAAUCUUUGAACGCACAUUGCGCCCUUUGGUAUUCCAAAGGGCAUGCCUGUUUGAGCGUCAUUUCUCCCUCAAACCCUCGGGUUUGGUGUUGAGCGAUACGCUGGGUUUGCUUGAAAGAAAGGCGGAGUAUAAACUAAUGGAUAGGUUUUUUCCACUCAUUGGUACAAACUCCAAAACUUCUUCCAAAUUCGACCUCAAAUCAGGUAGGACUACCCGCUGAACUUAAGCAUAUCAAUAAGCGGAGGAA